rnacentral:rRNA from 1 species
CCUACGGGUGGCAGCAGUGGGGAAUAUUGGACAAUGGGGGCAACCCUGAUCCAGCAAUUCUGUGUGCACGAAGAAGGUUUUCGGAUUGUAAAGUGCUUUCAGCAGGGAAGAAGGAAGUGACGGUACCUGCAGAAGAAGCGACGGCUAAAUACGUGCCAGCAGCCGCGGUAAUACGUAUGUCGCGAGCGGUAUCCGGAAUUAUUGGGCAUAAAGGGCAUCUAGGCGGCCUAACAAGUCAGGGGUGAAAACCUGCGGCUCAACCGCAGGCCUGCCUUUGAAACUGAAAGGCUGGAGUACCGGAGAGGUGGACGGAACUGCACGAGUAGAGGUGAAAUUCGUAGAUAUGUGCAGGAAUGCCGAUGAUGAAGAUAGUCCACUGGACGGAAACUGACGCUGAAGUGCGAAAGCCGGGGGAGCGAACAGGAUUAGAUACCCCAGUAGUC